rnacentral:tRNA from 1 species
GGUUCUAUAGUGUAGCGGUUAGCACGUUUGCUUUAUAUGUAGAAAGUCCUGAGUUCACACUCCAGUGGAGCCA